rnacentral:rRNA from 1 species
UAGAACUAUUAAAGAAUUUCGGUCAUCGAUGGGGAUGCGUUCCAUUAGGUUGUUGGCGGGGUAACGGCCCACCAAGCCUUCGAUGGAUAGGGGUUCUGAGAGGAAGGUCCCCCACAUUGGAACUGAGACACGGUCCAAACUCCUACGGGAGGCAGCAGUGAGGAAUAUUGGUCAAUGGACGAGAGUCUGAACCAGCCAAGUAGCGUGAAGGAUGACUGCCCUAUGGGUUGUAAACUUCUUUUAUACGGGAAUAAAGUGAGGCACGCGUGCCUUUUUGUAUGUACCGUAUGAAUAAGGAUCGGCUAACUCCGUGCCAGCAGCCGCGGUAAUACGGAGGAUCCGAGCGUUAUCCGGAUUUAUUGGGUUUAAAGGGAGCGUAGGCGGACGCUUAAGUCAGUUGUGAAAGUUUGCGGCUCAACCGUAAAAUUGCAGUUGAUACUGGGUGUCUUGAGUACAGUAGAGGCAGGCGGAAUUCGUGGUGUAGCGGUGAAAUGCUUAGAUAUCACGAAGAACUCCGAUUGCGAAGGCAGCCUGCUGGACUGUAACUGACGCUGAUGCUCGAAAGUGUGGGUAUCAAACAGGAUUAGAUACCCUGGUAGUCCACACAGUAAACGAUGAAUACUCGCUGUUUGCGAUAUACAGUAAGCGGCCAAGCGAAAGCGUUAAGUAUUCCACCUGGGGAGUA